GCUACGGGUGGCAGCAGUGAGGAAUAUUGGUCAAUGGGCGUGCGCCUGAACCAGCCAAGUCGCGUGAGGGAAGACUGCCCUAUGGGUUGUAAACCUCUUUUGUCAGGGAGCAACGGAGGCCACGUGUAGCCUGACUGAGAGUACCUGAAGAAAAAGCAUCGGCUAACUCCGUGCCAGCAGCCGCGGUAAUACGGAGGAUGCGAGCGUUAUCCGGAUUUAUUGGGUUUAAAGGGUGCGUAGGCGGAAUGCCAAGUCAGCGGUAAAAGCGCGGGGCUCAACCCCGCUCCGCCGUUGAAACUGGCGGUCUUGAGUGGGCGAGAAGUAUGCGGAAUGCGCGGUGUAGCGGUGAAAUGCAUAGAUAUCGCGCAGAACUCCGAUUGCGAAGGCAGCAUACCGGCGCCCAACUGACGCUGAAGCACGAAAGCGUGGGUAUCGAACAGGAUUAGAUACCCUAGUAGUC
rnacentral:rRNA from 1 species